UACGUAGGGUGCGAGCGUUAAUCGGAAUUACUGGGCGUAAAGCGUGCGCAGGCGGUUUUGUAAGCCAGAUGUGAAAUCCCCGGGCUUAACCUGGGAAUGGCAUUUGGGACUGCAAGGCUUGAGUGUGGCAGAGGGGACUGGAAUUCCUGGUGUAGCAGUGAAAUGCGUAGAGAUCAGGAGGAAUACCGAUGGGCGAAGGCAGGUCCCUGGGCUGACACUGACGCUCAUGCACGAAAGCGUGGGGAGCAAACAGG
rnacentral:rRNA from 1 species